AGAGUUUGAUCCUGGCUCAGGAUGAACGCUGGCGGCGUGCUUAACACAUGCAAGUCGAGCGAAGCGGCUGAAUUGAUUCUUCGGAUGAUUUUCAGUUGACUGAGCGGCGGACGGGUGAGUAACGCGUGGGUGACCUGCCCCAUACCGGGGGAUAACAGCUGGAAACGGCUGCUAAUACCGCAUAAGCGCACAGAGCUGCAUGGCUCGGUGUGAAAAACUCCGGUGGUAUGGGAUGGGCCCGCGUCUGAUUAGGCAGUUGGCGGGGUAACGGCCCACCAAACCGACGAUCAGUAGCCGGCCUGAGAGGGCGACCGGCCACAUUGGGACUGAGACACGGCCCAAACUCCUACGGGAGGCAGCAGUGGGGAAUAUUGCACAAUGGGGGAAACCCUGAUGCAGCGACGCCGCGUGAGCGAAGAAGUAUUUCGGUAUGUAAAGCUCUAUCAGCAGGGAAGAUAAUGACGGUACCUGACUAAGAAGCCCCGGCUAACUACGUGCCAGCAGCCGCGGUAAUACGUAGGGGGCAAGCGUUAUCCGGAUUUACUGGGUGUAAAGGGAGCGUAGACGGCAAGGCAAGUCUGAUGUGAAAACCCAGGGCUUAACCCUGGGACUGCAUUGGAAACUGUCUGGCUCGAGUGCCGGAGAGGUAAGCGGAAUUCCUAGUGUAGCGGUGAAAUGCGUAGAUAUUAGGAAGAACACCAGUGGCGAAGGCGGCUUACUGGACGGUAACUGACGUUGAGGCUCGAAAGCGUGGGGAGCAAACAGGAUUAGAUACCCUGGUAGUCCACGCCGUAAACGAU
rnacentral:rRNA from 1 species